rnacentral:rRNA from 1 species
GUGGGGAAUAUUGGACAAUGGGCGAAAGCCUGAUCCAGCCAUGCCGCGUGUGUGAAGAAGGUCUUCGGAUUGUAAAGCACUUUAAGUUGGGAGGAAGGGUAGUAACCUAAUACGUUGCUACUUUGACGUUACCGACAGAAUAAGCACCGGCUAACUUCGUGCCAGCAGCCGCGGUAAUACGAAGGGUGCAAGCGUUAAUCGGAAUUACUGGGCGUAAAGCGCGCGUAGGUGGUUCAGUAAGUUGGAAGUGAAAUCCCCGGGCUCAACCUGGGAACUGCAUUCAAAACUGAUGAGCUAGAGUACGGUAGAGGGUGGUGGAAUUACCUGUGUAGCGGUGAAAUGCGUAGAUAUAGGAAGGAACACCAGUGGCGAAGGCGACUACCUGGACUGAUACUGACACUGGGGUGCGAAAGCGUGGGGCGCAAACAGGAUUAGAAACCCUUGUAGUCC